rnacentral:rRNA from 1 species
UACGUAGGGGGCAAGCGUUGUCCGGAUUUAUUGGGCGUAAAGAGCGUGUAGGCGGCUAGGUAGGUCCGUUGUGAAAACUCGAGACUCAACCUCGAGACGCCGAUGGAAACCAUCUGGCUAGAGUCCGGAAGAGGAGAGUGGAAUUCCUGGUGUAGCGGUGAAAUGCGCAGAUAUCAGGAAGAACACCCGUGGCUAAGGCGGCUCUCUAGUACGGUACUGACGCUGAGACGCGAAAGCGUGGGGAGCGAACAGG